UUUCUAAUUUUGAUACUUUCCAUUCUAUAUCCACUUUCUCCCCAUUACAUACAACCCCAAUAUCUUCAGCUAUAUUCCAAAUGGUCCUUGAUUCAGCCUCAUCCUCCUCAAUUACAUAGUCACCGAAACGUUUAGUCGCACCUUAUACUGAUCCUUUUGUUUUACCAGGACAACCUUUCUUCCUUCCUUCCAUUCGAGCAUUUCAUGUCUUCCUUACUACCACAUGUUGCAUCUCUCAUGGUAAUGCCACAUUUCUUAUUCUUUGUCUCCCCCAUAACGUCUUUAGCAUUCUUCCUCAUCAUAUUAUCAAUAUUGGUCCUUUCAUCCUUGUUUCCAUUGUUAAAAUGUUGAAUUUUCUUAUCAUAUGAGAAGACUGCUGCAUUAGCUAAGCCUUUUCCUUUUUCCACCACUCAUUCUCUUAGGCCUUGGUGGACAACCUAGUUUGUUGAAGCCCAUCUCCACUACCAGUUUUGUCACUCGUUUUUUCCUUAAUAAUUGUAUUUGGGCUUGUUGUUGUGGCCCAAAUUGAACUUACCCUAUUUAAUUAGAAUUGGUUCCUUUAGUUGCUUUCAUUGACCAUUCUUACCUCCAUCCUUCUUUUUUUUUUUUCUGUGGCUUUUAUCCUCACAUGUUUCUUUCUCUCCCUUGUCGUUUAUGUGGUUAUUUCCUGAGGCAAUGUCAUUGUUGUGUCUUUGCUCAUCUAUAUCCUUUUGGUCAAUGUCCACCUUCACAUAUUUUCCUUUUUUCCAAUCUUCAACCUUUGUCUCAUGAACUCCUUCAUUUCUUUUUUUUUUUUUUUUCCAUUUUGAUGCAACAUUGAACCCUGUUGUUUGUUUGCCCCUACCAAAAUUGUCGCACUACCCCCAUAUACCUCUUUCUCUAUUUGCGUAGGUAGCUGACCUACCACAUCCACAUCAAUAAUUUUGAAAAUGGAACACAUUGUUGUGGAGGACUGACUACUAUCGUCGAUGUUGCAUCACUAUCUCUGAACUCACACCCUUCCUACAGACCUUUGUCGUCUGAACACUCUACUACACUAGGCCCUUCUCCCAUAUGAAGCACCUUAACAGAAGAUUCUAGAUCUGAGUCUUCAUACCUACACCCACCAGCCAUAACUCUUUCGUCUGCAGUGAAAAAAGCUUCCUCCAUAGCUUUAAUUACCAAAGCCCUUCCAUUUUACCCUUUUGACUUCUUGAAUCCACCCCAGUCUAGAGGUUCUAAUGAGCACCCUAGCAUACUCCAGUCUUGAUUAGUCAGUUGUAUCCUCAUCCACCAACACUAAAUCCUUGAUUGUUGCUGUGAUGAGUUCAAAACAUUUUCUUUUCCAUAAGUUCAACGGUAAACCCUCAAUCCUAAUCCAGACCGAUCUAUUAUUGGAGAAAACCUCUAAAGUCUAAUCCACAACAGAUUCGAAUAACUUGUUCAUCCAUUCCUCAACCCCUUUCAGAACCUCAUUUAGAUCCACUCCCUCUAAAGGGGUAAAUAGCAACAAUUUGUUGCCUAUAUACCUCAUUUAAAUCGAUUGCAUCCCUUCCAAAAAAGGAGAGUUCUUUGGCAUUCUAGAUAAGCUUGACAACCAGAACUGUUGCAAUGAGACUUCUUGCUAACUGGUUUGUAUUGUUUUCUUCCAUCCUUAUAUCAUAUCCCCAUCUUACAUCCUCACUAUCUUCUUUCUUAUUCGUGUUUUUCAACCUCCUACUAUGUUUAGCAACAACAUGUGUUUUGCUAGUAGUUAUGCCUACAUAAGACUUUUCAGGUCUUAGUUCACCUUUUCCUGAGAUCACACUCUUUACAGUUGUAUUCUACUGAUUCUUCUUUGCAUAUGUUCCUAUAACUAUGUUGACCUCCCAUUUCUUUUGUUUUUCAAAAUUUGGAAAAUUCACCAUCAUCCUCAUAUUACCCACAAAGAUAUUGUGCAGUUUUUUCUCUAAUGCUACAAAAUUUUCCACCUCUUUGACACACACAAACCCAUACUUAAUACCUAUUUUACCCUUCCUUGGUGAUAUGAAUACUUCAAAAACUUUCCCAAACUGAAUGAAGAUUCUCUAUAGAUAUAACACCUCAAGUGUAUAUGAGAAAUGGGUGAAGAAGUAGCUAGUAAUCCCCCUCGAUAUCCCUAUUGAACCUCUACCUUUGCCUUUGUCCCAUUCUCUCAUUCCCCAAACCCACCCACACUCCCUUUUUGUCCCUCUCUCUCACUAGACCAUUUCUCACCUGUCUCUCUAGUUGCAUGUGACAUUCACUAUUAGGCUUACUACGAGUAUGUCAAGCUUUUUAUUUAGCUCAAGGUCUUUACUUAUUUGAAGAUGGAUAGACAUCUUUGUUUGUAAAUUGUAGUAUUGCUACAACCAUGCUUAAUUAUUAUUGUUUGAAUUGUAAUACACUAGUUAGUGGGACAUGUGGCAUUUAUUUUCAUUAAGAAGUCAAUCUUUGGACCUUAUGGCAAUUAUGACAACUAUUAUAGUCAACCACCAUUUGAUUUUCUUCUUGCCUUAUAUGAUAUUGUUAAGGAAUAGGAGAGAUGGAAAAUGUUUCUUCGAUGUUUGCCAAAUCUCAAACUCCUAUGAUGACGGAGAGAUAUUGAUCUCCUCUUAAACUACUAGAACAACCUUAAUAGUUUUUGUUGUUGCAUUUUGAGGGUUUUCAACCUAUAUUCUAAAUGAAAAUAUUAAAUACAUGAAAAUAUUAUAUAAGUUCAAUUGAUUUAGUGGUUGAUGGAACUUAGAAUAUGAAAAUAUUAAAUACAUGAAUUUUUUUAUGGAGACAUUUUCUGAAUCAGCCUAAUAAUUAAAGCCCAAUUCUUAAUAUGGGUCAAAAGUAUGGUCUUAUUGACAUCAUGUUUGUAUGCUCCAAAAUUUUCUAUUACCUGCCCGCCUUGCUCAAGCAAGCUUUCAAGUUUCAACCAGGCUUUCUUGCAUAUGUCCAUAUGUAUAUAUAUGUACAUAUGUCCCUUUUUGUUUGGUACUAUUUUAAUUUGUACACUGACUUCCAUCGCGAGUCAGCAAGAUUUAUACAUGGACAUGGACAAGUAACUUGUUAUGUUCUCAACCCAAGUCUCCACAUUUUACCAUUUCAUUUCUCAACUCAAGAAAUGGAGAAGAUCCAAACUUAGUCAGAUUUUAGUAACAAUUUGAUUUUGUAUGUCCUUCAAUUUUUUUGUUGACAAAAUCAGGGGAAGAGAAUGAUACUUUAUUCGACCCUUUUCUUAUGCUUAUUAUCAUGGUAUAUUCGCCUUCUUUAAUACAAAUUACAGACACAACACCUGGGAUGGAUUUUUGUUAUUCCAAAUUCAAACAAAAUAGUUCCCUGUAUAUACAAUAAUUUUCUCAAUAGGAAAAUGAAGCUUGGGCCCAAUUGAAGGAUCAUGUAGGUUUAGGACCUUUAUUUAUCUUUGCCCCCAAUUCUCCAAAUUAAGUUUCUGUCCCAUUUUCAAAUAAAACACAUAAAUACCCCUUUUUUUCUUUCUACAGUGUGAAUUUGGGUCCUUAUCCACUUAGUUCACAACUUAUGUUUGACAAAAUAUUGUAGACUCACCUUAAGAAUUUGAUUUUCCGUAAAUUGAAUUCUUAACAUUUUUUUAUUGAACUUCAUUAAGUUAUUAUGUAUCCUUAAAUCUUCAAAGAUAUAUAAUCAACUUCAAAGCUAAAAUGAAUUUCAUUUUUUUUAAUUAUAAAUCUUGUUCUAGUAGUGCAUUAUUUAAAUUGCAGUAAUUGUUUACGCAAUCAAUUCAUUAGUUCUGCUUUAAGGAUAAUUUUCACUUUGUACAUGUAUGAUACGAUUCAUUUUAUUUUAAUUAAUUGAAAUGUAGAAGUUUUAAAGAUAGAUAUUGUUUGUCUAGAAAGUUGCAACGGUACUGGCCGACUUACCGUCCUCUAGCAUGUUGUCUUGUGUCUGUGUAAUCCAUUGAAUGUAAAAUUUAGAAAAAAAGUCGGAGGCCCAUACAUAGCCGUUAUGAUGUUCUGUACAAAUAUUGUCAUUAUUCUAUCAUUACUCUAGAUACAUUAUGCACCACAGAAACAUAUGUAUAGAUAUAGGGUAUGGGGGAUCUAGAGCUCUUUCUUUCUUUGUCUAUAUAGGGUACUAACAUUGUAAUUGUAAUUUGUAGACACUUUUGGUUUUCAUGUUUGCAUCGUCAUCUCGAUGUUCAUUGUUGGACAUUGUUUGUGACCAUCUUGAUAGCACAUGACUACAUCACCGAGCUCCCCUCCUCCUCCUGAGUCAGCAACAUGGCUCAGAUCGUUGGCUACCAGACUCGUUAGGAUGGAGAGACCAAUGGUUCAUGUGGAUCCUACCACUGGAAAAGCUGAUGGUCCCCAUAGAAAGAAAUUAAGGAUGUAUUUGGGGAUCGUUGCUCGAGACAAGGUGGACGUUACAUUUGUUAACUAGAAAGAAGUUUUUGCAGCUCAGAAGGAUAUGAUUUGGGAGGGCAUUAAGGCUGAAUUUGAUAUUCUAGAAGCAUCCGACCAAAGGACGAAGAAGAAGAUCCUUAAGACGGUAGGAGAGCAAUGAAGGCAGUUAAAGUCAAAUUUGACCUCCAAAUGGGAUCUGGCACAAGGCAAGGAGGAGGGCAAAGGCAAUGUCUGCAAGAAGUACAAUAUUAGCAAAGAAAAGUGACAACAAUUUUGUCGGAGUUGUAGAGACCCUUCAUGGGAGAAAGAAAGCUCAGGCCAUCCAAAAACUAAACACUACCCUUCACGUGUUGUCUCAUAGGGGUUAUGAUUUACUAAAAGAAAGGUUAAUGGAGGAAAAACAAAAGAAACGAUUGGAGCAAGCAGCCCAAUCUGGAAGCACAAAAACAAUCGUUGAUCCUCCAUCUCCCAUUAGACGACAAGUGAAGUGAAAGAUGGCUCGCACCAAAAAAUCUAGAGAGAUGAUAUUUGAGGCAACACGCAAAAUUGAAGAUAGGAUUGAUUCCCUUGAAGACCAGUCAACACAGGGCAACUUUGUCACCCAUGGACGUUCGAAUGUGCUGACUGCUGCCAUUGGGCGACCAGAGCACUCUAACUGUGUUUGUGCUGCUAGAACUGGUGCCACCAUUAGACAAUACUUUGGACCAACUUCAAAAAGCUACCGCACGUCUAUGUCCAUAACUCCUGAAGAGCUGGAGCAACUGACACAAAAAAUUAAGGACUAGCUGGAGGAGUCGAUCACUGAAAAAGUGACUUGACAACUUAUGUUGUCCUUCAGCCAGAUGCAGUCGCAAAUGCAAUUCUAGGGAGUUGUACUGCCUCCUAAAGCAGAGGUUGGUCCUUCUGCUGCUCGUGUCAGCACAAAGGGAAGUUGUGUAGAUCCCUCGUGCAAAAUCGAGACACCGGUUAAUCAGACAAAUGUGGGUUGUAUGUUGAUGACUAUCCUCCCCGCUUGGUUGCCCUUGUAAGAAUUUAUGAGGGGUCGACAAUCGUCCACAACGUCCCUUUUGAGUAAUGAUCAAGUGAAGGUCGGUGUUGAGGAAGUUCGAGAUGCUGAUGCUCGCAUCCCUGUACCCACUCAAGAGGUUCAGUUAGUGGGAAAGACCCUUAACACCUUUCUUGCUUGGUUGACACAUCUUGUACAACCUUUUUCAGAAUAGGAUAAACAUGGAGUUGAGGGACUGGCAAAACCUAUAGAUAUGCCAGAACCUAAUGAUGAUCCCCUAUACUAAAUGACAUUAAUGAUCCUAGAGCUUUUCCUCAAGCCUAUGCAGGUGCCAUGGGAUUCAACUGUGUUUGGGGUGUAUAAUGAUGACGUCCCCUUGUACAUAAAGCAUGAAGAUCUGUCUGAAAUAGCACACGAUGGUCAAUGUCUCAACAUCUCUAUUAUACAAAUUUGGAUUCUAUAACUCACUUUACAUUACAGUCCAUUACAUAAUUGAUUGUUUUGAAUUGAUACAUAAUUUAGUUUAUUCUAACAACAAUAGGCA